UAUUAUUAUUAUUAUUAUUGUUUUUGUAAAGUUGUUUAUGUUAAUCAUUAUUUAGUUUUUGUAUAUGUUUUUGAUUUAAUAUUUUUUAUUAUAGUUUAUUAGUACUGUAAAGGAAUUAUUUGGUUUAUUUGUUUUAAUUGAUAUAAGUUUAUUUUGUUGAUUGUACCUUGUGUAUCAGGUUUUAUUUAUAGUUUUUUAUUUAUUUUAUUUAUUCUCGAUUUUAUAGGAGUUAAGUAUAUAUAUAUAUAUAUAUUUAUUUAUUUAUUUAAUGUUUUAUAAUUAUUUUCUAUAUAUAUUUAGUAAUGAGAUGUUAUUCGUUUUUAAAGGUAUCUGGUUUCUUAAGAAAUGAAUUUAAUUCAUACAUUUAUUUUAAUCUUGUUUUUUAUAAGUUUGAUUUUAGUUUGUGUAAAUAUUAAUAGGGAUAAGCUUAUUAAUUUAUUUUCUAUAUAUAUAUAUUACUUAUUUAUAUUUUAUUGAUUUAGAGGUGAUUAUUGAUUUGAGAAUGUAAUAAUUUUGUUUUUAAUUAGUUUUUAUUUUUAUUUUUGUUAGUUUAUUUAUUGAGGAGUUUUGUUUAAUUUUUUUUUGAUUUUUAUUAUUUUGUAAUUAGUAAAUUUUUAUUUGUUGUAUGUUUAUUAAUUUAAAUUAACUAGGCAAAUAUUAUUUUCGAUUGUUUAUCAAAAACAUUUUUUCUUGUUUUUAUUUGAGAUAUAACCUGCCCAAUGAUUUAUAUUUGAAUGGCCGCGGUAAUUUGACCGUGCAAAGGUAGCAUAAUCAUUAGUCUUUUAAUUGAGGACUAGAAUGAAUGGUUGAACGUGAAAUAUACUGUGUUUAUUUUAUUUUUAUUGAAUUUGAUUAUUGAGUUAAAAGGCUUUAAUUUUUUUAUGGGACGAGAAGACCCUAUAGAGUUUAUAUACUAUUAAUUGUUUUAUUGGUUGAUUAAUUUUUUAUGCUUGAUAUUAUUUGGUUGGGGCGAUUGGAAGAUACAAAUAACUCUUUUUUAUUUUUGAUAUUUAUUUAUAUUUUGUUGAUCCAUAUUUUAUGAUUAUAAGACUAAAUUACCUUAGGGAUAACAGCGUUAUUUUUUUUGAGAGUUCUUAUCGACAAUAAGGAUUGCGACCUCGAUGUUGGAUUAAGAUUAAUUUUGGGUGUAGAGUUUCAUUUGAUUAAGUCUGUUCGACUUUUAAAAUCUUACAUGAUCUGAGUUCAAACCGGUGUAAACCAGGUUGGUUUCUAUCUAUAAUUUAUAAAAUAUUUUAGUACGAAAGGACCAGAUAUUUUAAAUAAUUUAUUUUGUAUUUAUUUAUAUUUAUACUUUUGAUUUAGU
rnacentral:rRNA from 1 species